AGAUUGAACGCUGGCGGCAUGCCUUACACAUGCAAGUCGAACGGCAGCACGGGAGCAAUCCUGGUGGCGAGUGGCGAACGGGUGAGUAAUAUAUCGGAACGUGCCCAGUCGUGGGGGAUAACGCAGCGAAAGCUGUGCUAAUACCGCAUACGAUCUAUGGAUGAAAGCGGGGGAUCGCAAGACCUCGCGCGAUUGGAGCGGCCGAUAUCAGAUUAGCUAGUUGGUGGGGUAAAGCCUACCAAGGCGACGAU
rnacentral:rRNA from 1 species